AUUGAACGCUGGCGGCAGGCCUAACACAUGCAAGUCGAGCGAGCGGCGGACGGGUGAGUAAUGUAUGGGGACUGCCCGAUAGAGGGGGAUAACUACUGGAAACGGUAGCUAAUCACGCAUACUAUCGGAUAACCCAUAUGGGAUUAGCUAGUAGGUGAGGUAAUGGCUCACCUAGGCGACGAUCCCUAGCUGGUCUGAGUGGAUGAUCAGCCAAACUGGGACUGAGACACGGCCCAGACUCCUACGGAGGUAGCAGUGGGGAAUAUUGGCAAAUGGGCGCAAGCCGGAUGCAGCCAUGCCGCGUGUAUGAAGAAGGCCCUAGGGUUGUAAAGUACUUUCAGUCGGGAUGCGUUACCGACAGAAGAAGCACCGGCUAACUCCGUGCCAGCAGCCGCGGUAAUUC
rnacentral:rRNA from 1 species